AUGAUGUGUCAAGUAUGAUGAUAGACCAGAUGAUUACAACAAAUGAGGAUCUUAAAAAAAGAAUUUGAAAAAAGAUUUCCUAGAGAUUGGGAGGAUAGAAAGGAAUUCAUAAAAGACCUAAUCGAAGGAAAUAAGGAUAAAAUAAAAGAUAAAAAGGCAAGAUAUUACAUGUAUGAGAUUGUAGCAAACAAGCGGAAUGAGAUAGACGUUCAUAAAAUGGACUAUUUUGCUAGAGAUUGUCAUGGACUCGGAAUGAAAAGUAACUUUGUCCAUCUGCGGUUCAUCAGUCAAUGUAAAGUCAUGUUCUCAAGUGAUACCCCUGAUGAAACUACUAUUGCUGUUUGAGACAAAGAAGAGUAUAAUCUGUAUGAGCUGUUUCACACCCGAAUUGGACUUUUCAGAAGAGCUUACUACCAUAAAGUAACUAAGGCAGUAGAGAUUAUGU